UGAGUAACCUGCCCUUCACUCUGGGAUAACUCCGGGAAACCGGGGCUAAUACUGGAUAUGACUCGAACAGGCAUCUGUUUCGGGUGGAAAGAUUUAUUGGUGGAGGAUGAACUCGCGGCCUAUCAGCUUGUUGGUGAGGUAAUGGCUCACCAAGGCGACGACGGGUAGCCGGCCUGAGAGGGCGAUCGGCCACACUGGGACUGAGACACGGCCCAGACCUCCGUACGGGAGCA
rnacentral:rRNA from 1 species